GCAGGUAUGGCGGAAUUGGCAGACGCAGCAGACUCAAAAUCUGCCGUGGGUAACCACUUGAGGGUUCAAGUCCCUCUACCUGCA
rnacentral:tRNA from 1 species